UGGGGAAUAUUGCACAAUGGGCGCAAGCCUGAUGCAGCCAUGCCGCGUGUAUGAAGAAGGCCUUCGGGUUGUAAAGUACUUUCAGCGAGGAGGAAGGUGUCGUGGUUAAUAACCGCAGCAAUUGACGUUACUCGCAGAAGAAGCACCGGCUAACUCCGUGCCAGCAGCCGCGGUAAUACGGAGGGUGCAAGCGUUAAUCGGAAUUACUGGGCGUAAAGCGCACGCAGGCGGUCCGUCAAGUCGGAUGUGAAAUCCCCGGGCUCAACCUGGGAACUGCAUCCGAAACUGGCAGGCUAGAGUCUUGUAGAGGGGGGUAGAAUUCCAGGUGUAGCGGUGAAAUGCGUUAGAGAUCUGGAGGAAUACCGGUGGCGAAGGCGGCCCCCCUGGACAAAGACUGACGCUCAGGUGCGAAAAGCGUGGGGAGCAAACA
rnacentral:rRNA from 1 species